GAUGAACGCUGGCGGCGUGCCUAAUACAUGCAAGUCGAACGCUUCACUUCGGUGAAGAGUGGCGAACGGGUGCGUAAUACAUAAGUAACCUGGCAUCUACAGGGGGAUAACUGAUGGAAACGUCAGCUAAGACCGCAUAGGUGUAGAGAUCGCAUGAACUCUAUAUGAAAAGUGCUACGGGACUGGUAGAUGAUGGACUUAUGGCGCAUUAGCUUGUUGGUAGGGUAACGGCCUACCAAGGCGACGAUGCGUAGCCGACCUGAGAGGGUGACCGGCCACACUGGGACUGAGCCACGGCCCAGACUCCUACGGGAGGCAGCAGUAGGGAAUUUUCGGCAAUGGGGGAAACCCUGACCGAGCAACGCCGCGUGAAGGAAGAAGUAAUUCGUUAUGUAAACUUCUGUCAUAGAGGAAGAACGGUGGAUAUAGGGAAUGAUAUCCAAGUGACGGUACUCUAUAAGAAAGCCACGGCUAACUACGUG
rnacentral:rRNA from 1 species